rnacentral:rRNA from 1 species
UACGGAGGGGGCUAGCGUUGUUCGGAAUUACUGGGCGUAAAGCGCGCGUAGGCGGUUCUUCAAGUCAGAGGUGAAAGCCCGGUGCUCAACACCGGAAUUGCCUUUGAAACUAGGGAACUUGAAUCCAGGAGAGGUGAGUGGAAUUCCGAGUGUAGAGGUGAAAUUCGUAGAUAUUCGGAAGAACACCAGUGGCGAAGGCGGCUCACUGGACCGGUAUUGACGCUGAGGUGCGAAAGCGUGGGGAGCAAACAGG